UACGUAGGGUGCAAGCGUUGUCCGGAAUUAUUGGGCGUAAAGAGCUCGUAGGCGGUUUGUCGCGUCUGCUGUGAAAACUCGGGGCUUAACUCCGGGCCUGCAGUGGGUACGGGCAGACUAGAGUGCGGUAGGGGAGACUGGAAUUCCUGGUGUAGCGGUGAAAUGCGCCAGAUAUCAGGAGGAACACCGGUGGCGAAGGCGGGUCUCUGGGCCGUAACUGACGCUGAGGAGCGAAAGCGUGGGGAGCGAACAGG
rnacentral:rRNA from 1 species